CAGUACCGAUUGGACCCCGCUUUAUUAUAUAAAGCUAGUAAAUAUCGUAUUUUCAUGUCAUAAACGAUCCAAAGGGGUACCAAUUAUUUGUAAAUAUAAAUAGCCCUUUCUACACCUUAUUUUCAACCGUAAAUCAUUUCACCAGUUUCUUUUCACGAAUACCGAGAGAAACCGAGCUGUGUUCUUCGUGUUCUUCGUAAUCAAACGAGGAUUUGAAGGUGUUAUUGGAAUCCGAUGGAGGUGUAUGAAUAGUCAAAACGAAGCUAUCGACGCGUAGAAUCUAGUUUAAUCAUCCGUUUGUGUGCAGAUUCAACAGGUGAUUUUAGAUUAAUUUUAUAAAAUUCGAAUUAUUUGCUUUUAAAUGUUGAAUUUUUGCAAACGUGAUUGUUUAAUUGUUUUGAUGAUUCUAUGAUGUAGAGCAUAUUUUUCUCGUCGUUUUGGUAUAUUAUAUGUCAAAAACGGAGUUCAAUAACAUGUAGAAAAGUCGAUUUGAUUUUUAGAUAUAUGUUCUUGAAUGUUCUUCGUAGUUUAUGAAUAUUCUCAAUUUGAAUUUAGGCGCUUCUUGUUUAAUGAUUCUGGGUUUGAUUGGAAGGCAUGAAAAUGAUCAGUAGGACGAGGGGAAUCGGUCGGUGUGAUUAGUUUUUGUGGAGGAGCCGCGUGUAAGCCUCGCCGGAGUUUGAAACUCAACGGCGGCGGCGGAUGUUUGACUCGCUUUUCCGGCCAAACGGCCGAUCCUUUGAUAAAACCGAUUGCACGAGUGGAUUCCUGAGAGGGAGUAGAGCGGAUCUGCACCUUUUUGUUCAGUUCUGGGCACCCAAACGCCGUUUCCGGCGACUGGGGCGGCGGCGGCGGUUUAAUUACCGUUUAGCCCCCCAGGUUCCGACUGGGGCGGCGGCGGCGGUUUAAUUACCGUUUAGGUCCCCCCAGGUUCUGAAGCUGAUGAAGUGGUAGUACCCAGGUUUUGGAACUUGCAAAUUACCCCCUGUAACUUUGAAAAGUUACAGUUUAAACCCUGGCCGAAAACUUUUAAAAGUUNACUUUCUAAAGUUUACAAAAUAAACCUUUCUGAUUUAAUUUCAAAAAUUGUUUUUAUUUAAUUAUUUUAAAUUUCAAAAAUAGUUUUUAAUUAUUUCUUUAUUCAAAAAUAAAUCUAAAUUAGUUUCUUAAUUAAUUUUAAUUAGUAAUUAAUUAUUUUAAUUGGUCAAUUAAUUUAAAUAUUAAUUGAUUAAUUAAUUUAGUUAAUUAUUAAUUGAUUUUAAUUGAUUAAUUAAUUAGAUUUAAUUGUUCCUUUUGAUUUAAAAAUUCUGGAAAAUAGUUUCGAGCUUUGAAUUAUUUUUCUAAAAUAUGUUUGAGGCUCGUUAAUUGAUUUCAAAUGAUUUUGGAUCCGAUCUUGAGCAAUCGGAUUUGAUUAUUUAUUCAAGAAUGGAUUCUUUUACCUGUUUUAAUUCCGAAAAAUGUCUAGAAAUUCCAGAAAAUUCCUGAAAAAUCAUUUUUAACCUGAGACUUGAUUUGAUAUCAAUUGGGAUGGGAAACCUUAUAUGAAAAAUGUUGUCUGCUAUCUGUUUGAUAUGUUAUGUACCGAUAGGAGAGUUAGAAAACGGUCUUGCUCAUAACUUUUGACUCGUAAUUCAGAAUAGAGUGAAACGAAAAAGAGAUUAAAGCUUAUAAAGUCUAUUUUAAUGUGACAUAAUAAUAUGGUGGAGUAUAGAAUGUGAAUAAUUGUUGUUAAAUGUAUAGAAUAUGAUUAUAUGUGAUCUAAUUGCUAUUAAUUGAUGAUUGCAUGGACUAUCUGGUUGUUCUAGUAUUACAUACAUGUGAUAAAUGAUUAAAUGACAUAGUGUCGUGUCUUGAUAGAUGUCGGAUAAAAGCAUAUGGAUUAUAGUGAUUGGAUUUGGUUGGUUGAUUGUUGAUUGAGAUAGGAUAACAGGUGGAUAGUCUAAUAAAUAGACGAGACGAUGUCGGAUUUUCGAUAAGAUUUAUAUGAUAUUUAAUUGAUAAUAUGUUAUGUGGAAUAUGAUUGGACUAUAUGGUAGAGUCAAAGCAUGAUUAUGUGUUAAGUGAUAUUUGAUGAGUUUAAAGGGUUGUAUAAGUGAGUAUCGGUAUACGUGAUAUGUAUAUGCGAUAUAUUGUUUAGCGACUAUAGUAUUAUCUCAUUCUCGUUAAGGAUUUGGACGAGACGUGGAUGACCGAAGACGUUCAGAAGGACAAGUGGUGUUCCAAAGCGAAUAAAGAAUGAGUCGAGUAAGCGAAGUGGUGUGGCGAAUAGGGUAUAGCCAGAGAUGGUCUAGAGACUAUGAUAUGCAUAGAGUAUGAAAUUGGAAAGAUGAGAUAGAGAUGUGAGACUGGAGUCAGAUUUAAGGCAAGUAUCCUGCACCCUGCUUUUGGAUAUAUUGCAAAUAUUCUGAUUCAUUCUUUUGAUGUGUUGCAAGUAUCCUAAACCCUUCUCUUGGAUAUAUUGCAAAUAUUCUGAUCCAUUCCUUUGGUAUAUGUUUCAAGUAUUCAUA
rnacentral:lncRNA from 1 species